rnacentral:lncRNA from 1 species
GUGAAAUUUGCUUUUGCAGCUGUUCUUUACAAAAUGGCUCCCAUUGAAUAAUGAGUGUCCUGCUUUUUAUUUAAAAAUUUUCAACCCAUAUUAGUUUCCAAAUAACAACAUCAAGUUUGUUGGCUUUGCUGAACUUGGCUGCAGGGUUGACCAGUACUUACUGGCACGUGAGCAGGCGCCCGUCCUCCUUCUGUUGACUGCUUCUUCAGUUACAGGAAUGAAAAAGAGAUUUUUCCAGAGAAGCUUCAGGGUUUUUCCCCUGAUGUCCAGCACUAGCACAACUCAUGACUUCAUUUAAGAUGCUGAAAUAAACUCUAAUUGAAUGCACCAUCUGGAAACAUUGAACUACAUGGAGAAAGCAGUGGGAUCAAUUCACAUCAUCCUCCACACCCCCACUGGACGCAGAUACAGUCCCAUUCCAAGGACUAAGAGCAUGCUGAGCUUUGGAUUCUCUUUUUUUGUAAAGCCCCGUCACUACAACAUUCAAAAGACGUGUGAAAAUGUACGUAACAUAUAUGGUAAAGCCAUCUAUGUUGACAUAAAUGGAUUCCCUGGCUUGUCCGAGGGCACACACAGAGUGCCGGAGGAAGGGUGUGAGUUCAGUGCCUCUGACUUCUGGUGUUACCCACUUGCUGCUAACAUUUCCUUCUCAUUCGUGGCUGGGCAGAGACUCCCCCAACUAGACUCAUAUCCUGAUUGCCCAGAAACAGGUUAUACUACUCACCUGGGCAAAGCAGAUGCAAAGAUUAUUGCAAUCAUCUGUUGAUAGAGGUCUUUGACCAGCAGAGAGAAUGCAGAGCUAGUGCGGGACAAGUUGGUGGAAUAUAACAGUAAUGCCAAGAUUCUGGGGUUGGAGGGUCUCUUUGAACACAGGAUUCAUCACAUGCAAGUUGUGCAACCUUGGACAUGGAACUUAACCUACUCAUGCCUCAGUUUCCCCAGCUAUACAGUGGGGGUAAGAAAAGGGGCUGUAGGGGUGCCUGGGUGGCUCAGUCAUUAAGCGUCUGCCUUCGGCUCAGGGCGUGAUCCCGGCGUUAUGGGUUCGAGCCCCGCAUCAGACUCCUCCGCUGGGAGCCUGCUGCUUCCUCUCCCACUCCCCUGCUUGUGUUCCCUCUCUCGCUGGCUGUCUCUAUGUCAAAUAAAUAAAUAAAAAUCUUUAAAAAAAAAAAAAGAAAAGGAGCUGAGUGCUGGAGUUGUUUUGAAGAUUAAAUGAAUUCUCAUUUGUGAAGGUCUUGAAAGA